ensembl:misc_RNA 7SK 7SK RNA
GGAUGUGAGGGCGAUCUGGCUGCGACAUCUGUCACCCCAUUGAUCGCCAGGGUUGAUUCGGCUGAUCUGGCUGGCUAGGCGGGUGUCCCCUUCCUCCCUCACUGCUCCAUGUGCGUCCCUCCCGAAGCUGCGCGCUCGGUCGAAGAGGACGACCAUCCCCGAUAGAGGAGGACCGGUCUUCGGUCAAGGGUAUAGGAGUAGCUGCGCUCCCCUGCUAGAACCUCCAAACAAGCUCUCAAAAAUGAGUGUGGGACAGUGAGACCGAGACAAAGCAAGAUUUUUUUUCUUUUUUUUUCUU